CCUACGGGUGGCAGCAGUGGGGAAUAUUGGACAAUGGGGGGAACCCUGAUCCAGCCAUGCCGCGUGUGUGAAGAAGGCCCUCGGGUUGUAAAGCACUUUCAGUGAGGAAGAACGCCUGGUGGUUAAUACCCAUCAGGAAAGACAUCACUCACAGAAGAAGCACCGGCUAACUCCGUGCCAGCAGCCGCGGUAAUACGGAGGGUGCGAGCGUUAAUCGGAAUUACUGGGCGUAAAGCGCGCGUAGGUGGCUUGAUAAGCCGGUUGUGAAAGCCCCGGGCUCAACCUGGGAACGGCAUCCGGAACUGUCAAGCUAGAGUGCAGGAGAGGAAGGUAGAAUUCCCGGUGUAGCGGUGAAAUGCGUAGAGAUCGGGAGGAAUACCAGUGGCGAAGGCGGCCUUCUGGACUGACACUGACACUGAGGUGCAAAAGCGUGGGUAGCAAACAGGAUUAGAUACCCGAGUAGUC
rnacentral:rRNA from 1 species